AAUGAACGUUGGCGGCAUGGAUUAGGCAUGCAAGUCGGGGGAAUCCCAGCAAUGGGGGAACCGGCGUAAGGGGCAGUAAGGCGUGGGUACCUACCUUGGGGUUCGGGAUAGCCAUCAGAGAUGGUGGGUAAUACCGGAUGACGUCGUGAGACCAAAGAUUUAUCGCCCUUAGAGGGGUCCGUGUGAUAUUAGCUAGUUGGUGGGGUAACGGCCCACCAAGGCCAAGAUGUCUAGCGGGUGUGAGAGCACGACCCGCGCCACUCGCACUGAGACACUGGCGAGACACCUACGGGUGGCUGCAGUCGAGGAUCUUCGGCAAUGAGCGCAAGCUUGACCGAGCGAUGCCGCGUGAGCGAUGAAGGCCUUCGGGUUGUAAAGCUCUUUAGUGGGGGAGAAAAGCCGCAAGGAGUGAUCUAUCCCAAAAAUAAGCACGGGCUAAGUUCGUGCCAGCCGCCGCCGUAA
rnacentral:rRNA from 1 species